ACAAUGAAGAGUUUGAUCCUGGCUCAGGAUGAACGCUAGCUACAGGCUUAACACAUGCAAGUCGAGGGGCAUCAGGAAGAAAGCUUGCUUUCUUUGCUGGCGACCGGCGCACGGGUGAGUAACACGUAUCCAACCUGCCCUUUACUCGGGGAUAGCCUUUCGAAAGAAAGAUUAAUACCCGAUAGCAUAAUGAUUCCGCAUGGUUUCAUUAUUAAAGGAUUCCGGUAAAGGAUGGGGAUGCGUUCCAUUAGGUUGUUGGUGAGGUAACGGCUCACCAAGCCUUCGAUGGAUAGGGGUUCUGAGAGGAAGGUCCCCCACAUUGGAACUGAGACACGGUCCAAACUCCUACGGGAGGCAGCAGUGAGGAAUAUUGGUCAAUGGGCGUUAGCCUGAACCAGCCAAGUAGCGUGAAGGAUGAAGGCUCUAUGGGUCGUAAACUUCUUUUAUAUAAGAAUAAAGUGCAGUAUGUAUACUGUUUUGUAUGUAUUAUAUGAAUAAGGAUCGGCUAACUCCGUGCCAGCAGCCGCGGUAAUACGGAGGAUCCGAGCGUUAUCCGGAUUUAUUGGGUUUAAAGGGAGCGUAGGUGGACUGGUAAGUCAGUUGUGAAAGUUUGCGGCUCAACCGUAAAAUUGCAGUUGAUACUGUCAGUCUUGAGUACAGUAGAGGUGGGCGGAAUUCGUGGUGUAGCGGUGAAAUGCUUAGAUAUCACGAAGAACUCCGAUUGCGAAGGCAGCUCACUGGACUGCAACUGACACUGAUGCUCGAAAGUGUGGGUAUCAAACAGGAUUAGAUACCCUGGUAGUCCACACAGUAAACGAUGAAUACUCGCUGUUUGCGAUAUACAGUAAGCGGCCAAGCGAAAGCAUUAAGUAUUCCACCUGGGGAGUACGCCGGCAACGGUGAAACUCAAAGGAAUUGACGGGGGCCCGCACAAGCGGAGGAACAUGUGGUUUAAUUCGAUGAUACGCGAGGAACCUUACCCGGGCUUAAAUUGCAGUGGAAUGAUGUGGAAACAUGUCAGUGAGCAAUCACCGCUGUGAAGGUGCUGCAUGGUUGUCGUCAGCUCGUGCCGUGAGGUGUCGGCUUAAGUGCCAUAACGAGCGCAACCCUUAUCUU
rnacentral:rRNA from 1 species